rnacentral:ncRNA from 2 species
AAUAUGAAUCCAUUCUUUGGUGCCCCAUACUGGGGAGAAUAGGGAAACCGGUGUAAUUCCGGUGCGCACCCAUCACUGUGAACGAUGAGCCUUGACUAGAUCCACUGGCGCUUGCUGGGAAGGAGGUCUAAGGCGCUUGAGUCGAAGCCAGGAGACCUGCCAAGAAUGAAGAAAGCCU